GGCACUGAAGGAUUUUCAAGAUUUUCCUCUUAAUAUUUGGCUUUACUUGAUAAUCCUAGAGCAUGCUGGGAAAUCUCAGCAAGAGGAAAAAUUUAGUAACCACAGGGAGGCCUGCUCGGAGGGCUGUGGAAAUGGUUCCUGAGUUCCAUUCUUGGGAGCAAGUGUUGGUACAGCAUAGAAGUAAUGACCUGACACCAGCUCCUGGCUUCUCGCACAGAGGCUUGGGCACCGAGGACACAAUAAUGUUUGGAUUUCACCUGGCUGGCAGAUGGUGGCACCAGUUUUGAGCCCAGGUCUUCUGAUGCAGAUCCAGCGCCCUACCCAGCAACUCACACAGGCUUUUGUUCACAAGUAGGACUCUUGAUUUGCAGAAGCGGAGUAGAAAAGAAACCUUGUCUUUUGUUUUACCUGUGAAGAUUCAUCUUGACUCCACUGAGGAUAAUGAGGAAAGCUUGGAGAGAGACAAAAGAUUAAGGAUAAUUUGCAUAAUGCUAGUUAGAUGGGGAAAGGCUUUUAUUUCAUAAAAUUUAUUUAAUAGUCACUGAAGGCUGGAUGUCAUGCAGAGCUUGCACAAGACUGUGCAGAGAAACUAAAAGCAGGAUAAACCGCAACUAUUCAUCGCAGUGACCCAAACCCAAAGCUAUUCACGCUCGAAGAGAAAGAUUCAUCAGCACGUACCUGACGUGCCCUUUGGAAAGCGUGUUAACCAUUUUAUGUAAGAAGUGGCAUUUCAUCCAGGUUCACUCAUUUGCAUACUUGUGAUUUCAUUUGCAUAUAUUUUACUGUGCUGCACUCUAGAAAUAUAUUCUCUUAUUUUAUUCUC